rnacentral:rRNA from 1 species
UAGGGAAUCUUCGGCAAUGGACGGAAGUCUGACCGAGCAACGCCGCGUGAGUGAAGAAGGUUUUCGGAUCGUAAAGCUCUGUUGUAAGAGAAGAACGGGUGUGAGAGUGGAAAGUUCACACUGUGACGGUAUCUUACCAGAAAGGGACGGCUAACUACGUGCCAGCAGCCGCGGUAAUACGUAGGUCCCGAGCGUUGUCCGGAUUGUUUUUGNUUAAGGCGCAAGCGGUCAGGCNAUUAUAAUUAAAUUAAAGGCUGUGGGUUANCACAUNCCCUUUNNAAACUGUUUAACUUGAGUGCAANNGGGGAGAGUGGAAUUCCAUGUGUAGCGGUGAAAUGCGUAGAUAUAUGGAGGAACACCGGUGGCGAAAGCCGCUUUUUGGCUUGUAACCGACGCUGAGGCUCGAAAGCGUGGGGAGCAAACAGGAUUAGAUACCCUGGUAGUCCACGCCGUAAACGAUGAGUGCUAGGUGUUAGACCCUUUCCGGGGUUUAGUGCCGCAGCUAACGCAUUAAGCACUCCGCCUGGGGAGUACGACCGCAAGGUUG